rnacentral:rRNA from 1 species
CCUACGGGUGGCAGCAGUGAGGAAUAUUGGUCAAUGGACGCAAGUCUGAACCAGCCAUGCCGCGUGCAGGAAGACGGCUCUAUGAGUUGUAAACUGCUUUUGUACGAGGGUAAACGCAGAUACGCGUAUCUGUCUGAAAGUAUCGUACGAAUAAGGAUCGGCUAACUCCGUGCCAGCAGCCGCGGUAAUACGGAGGAUUCAAGCGUUAUCCGGAUUUAUUGGGUUUAAAGGGUGCGUAGGCGGUCGGAUAAGUUAGAGGUGAAAUCCCGAGGCUCAACUUCGGAAUUGCCGCGGAUACUGGGCGGCUAGAGAGUAGUGGCGGCAGGCGGAAUGCAUGGUGUAGCGGUGAAAUGCUUAGAGAUCAGACAGAACACCGAUUGCGAAGGCAGCUUACCAAGCUACUUCUGACGUUGAGGCACGAAAGCGUGGGGAGCAAACAGGAUUAGAUACCCUUGUAGUC